rnacentral:rRNA from 1 species
AACGGGUGAGUAACGCGUGGGGAAUCUGCCUUUGAGCGGGGGACAACAUUUGGAAACGAAUGCUAAUACCGCAUAAAAACUUUAAACACAAGUUUUAAGUUUGAAAGAUGCAAUUGCAUCACUCAAAGAUGAUCCCGCGUUGUAUUAGCUAGUUGGUGAGGUAAAGGCUCACCAAGGCGAUGAUACAUAGCCGACCUGAGAGGGUGAUCGGCCACAUUGGGACUGAGACACGGCCCAAACUCCUACGGGAGGCAGCAGUAGGGAAUCUUCGGCAAUGGACGAAAGUCUGACCGAGCAACGCCGCGUGAGUGAAGAAGGUUUUCGGAUCGUAAAACUCUGUUGGUAGAGAAGAACGUUGGUGAGAGUGGAAAGCUCAUCAAGUGACGGUAACUACCCAGAAAGGGACGGCUAACUACGUGCCAGCAGCCGCGGUAAUACGUAGGUCCCGAGCGUUGUCCGGAUUUAUUGGGCGUAAAGCGAGCGCAGGUGGUUUAUUAAGUCUGGUGUAAAAGGCAGUGGCUCAACCAUUGUAUGCAUUGGAAACUGGUAGACUUGAGUGCAGGAGAGGAGAGUGGAAUUCCAUGUGUAGCGGUGAAAUGCGUAGAUAUAUGGAGGAACACCGGUGGCGAAAGCGGCUCUCUGGCCUGUAACUGACACUGAGGCUCGAAAGCGUGGGGAGCAAACAGGAUUAGAUACCCUGGUAGUCCACGCCGUAAACGAUGAGUGCUAGAUGUAGGGA